GAAACCUCCCACCCUGCUUGGAGUGCCUUUCCAAAGUGAAGCUAGAGGAGGGUUUCUCAAGCCUCUGUUUCUCAUGGGGAGCUUUGGCCUUUGCAAGUGAUGGACUGUGGAGCUGCAAGGGGAAACCACCUGGUAGUGAUCAAAGAAGAUAGGUUGAAAUUCUCCUGGAAAGAUGUACAUGUAAGACAACAAUGCAUGACACCCUCUGGUGGACUCUUCUCCUCCCUCUAAAAAACUCGCUGAUACUGAUUCAUCACUGCGAGGUAACAAGUAGUACACAGAUCUAUCUUCUCACAAAGGAUUUGUUAUAAUAUGGAAGCAGAACAAUUUGACAUCAUUAUCCGAAAAUCCACUGUGGAAGAUGAAUUCAUGUGUCAAAACUGCUAAAAUGGAUAAUGGGCAUAAUUGUUAAUAUACUAACUGUUGUGAUUUUUUAGUGAGUAAAUAUGUAACCAUUCACACAUCUUUCUGUAAUUUAUAAGUAAAAAUCUCUCCCUUUGUGACUCAGUAUUGUGAUCUUCCAUGCUCACUAUGAAAAACAUAAUAGAAAUAUGAUAUGAUAAAAUCAGAGUGCUAUACUAUAGUGACAAGAAAACAGGAGGUAUGGAUUUUAAUGUGAGUUCAACCCCUAGCUAGCUCUUUUACUUUGGGCAUUCCCUUAGUCUUGGUCUCAAUGCCCUCUUCUGUAAAGUUGUGAGGUUUGAGUUAUUCUCUGAGAUACAUUCUGCUGUUAAAAUUCUAUUAUUGAA
rnacentral:lncRNA from 1 species